rnacentral:sRNA from 1 species
UUGAGAUUGGAGCCCCCGCGCUCCGGUUU